ACGGGUACGGGGAUCAGGGUUCGAUUCCGGAGAGGGAGCCUGAGAAAUGGCUACCACAUCCAAGGAAGGCAGCAGGCGCGCAAAUUACCCAAUCCAGACACUGGGAGGUGGUGACGAGAAAUACCAGGUCGUUCCCAAAAGGAUUCGACACUGGAAUGAGUGUAAUUUAAGAAUUUCAUCGAUUAACAACUGGAGGGCAAGUCUGGUGCCAGCAGCCGCGGUAAUUCCAGCUCCAGUAGUGUAUCUUAAAGUUGCUGCGGUUAAAACGCUCGUAGUUGGACAAUAGAGUAAUUUAGUGCGGGCGGGAAGUGUAAUUACAUUAUAUAAUUAAUUAUAUGAUUAUUAUAUAUUAGGUUUAACCUAUAUAUAUAAUAUAGUAUAAUCUAAAAAUAUAACUGUAUCGCUUGUCGACCAUGCUGCUAGAUUACUUGUAUUAUUUCGUGAGAAUAACAUAUAGUCUUAAUUGUGCCGUAUGUUGUAUCUUACGUAAUGUGCCUUGAAUAAAUCAGAGUGCUCAAAGCAAGCAUAUUGUAUGAAUGUUAAUAGCAUGGAACGAAUGUAAUUGUGUAUGUAUAAUUGUAUAAUAUAUAUUUAUAUGUUAUAUGGUUAUAUAGCACCAACAACAAGUAUAAUACAUUGGUUAUUAUAAUUGUGGUGAUGAUUAAGAGGGGCAUUUGGGGGCAUUAGUAUUUGACCGCGAGAGGUGAAAUUCUUGGACCGGUCAAGGACUAACAAGUGCGAAAGCAUUUGCCAAGUAUGUUCCCAUUAAUCAAGAACGAAAGUGAGAGGUUCGAAGACGAUCAGAUACCGUCCUAGUUCUCACUGUAAACGAUGCCAACCCGGGAUCAGUUUAGAUGGAAAUAAAUGGAUCAAGGUUGGUCCCCCUGGGAAACCUAGAGUUUUUAGGUUCCGGGGGGAGUAUGGUUGCAAGGCUGAAACUUAAAGGAAUUGACGGAAGGGCACCACCAGGAGUGGAGCCUGCGGCUUAAUUUGACUCAACACGGGAAAACUCACCUGGUCCGGACAUUGAUAGGAUUGACAGACUAAUAGAUCUUUCAUGAUACAGUGGAUGGUGGUGCAUGGCCGUUCUUAGUUCGUGGAGCGAUCUGUCAGGUUUAUUCCGGUAACGAACGAGACCACGAUCUCCAUUUAGAAUAUUAAAAGUGUAAUAAAUAACUCAAGGCAUAUAUUAUUAUGAUAUAUGCUAAGAUUAUUUAUUAAUUUUGAUUGCAUAUAAGUAAAAUUAUAUGUAAUUCUAUGGAGAGACAACCGGAUUGUAAGCCGGAGGAAGCGUGGCAAUAACAGGUCUGUGAUGCCCUUCGAUGUUCAGGGCUGCACGCGCGCUACAAUGAUAACGACAGAGAGAAUCUGGACUGAGAAGUUCUGGGUAAUCUUGGAAAUCGUUAUCGUGAUGGGGAUUGAGCAUUGUAAUUAUUGCUCAUGAAAUAGGAAUUCCUUGUAAUUGCAACUCAUUUAGGUUGUAAUGAAUAAGUCUCUGCCCUUUGUACACACCGCCCGUCGCUACUACCGAGUGAAUGGUGUCAUGAUAUCUUGGGACUGGACAAUGUUAGCAAUGCAAAUUGUGGACUAUGCUAGGAGCAAGAUAAAAUGGCGCAAUUUCGAGGAAGUAAAAGUCGUAACAAGGUUUCCGUAGAC
rnacentral:rRNA from 1 species